rnacentral:rRNA from 1 species
CCUACGGGAUGCACCAGUGGGGAAUAUUGCACAAUGGGCGCGAGCCUGAUGCAGCCAUGCCGCGUGUAUGAAGAAGGCCUUCGGGUUGUAAAGUACUUUCAGCGGGGAGGAAGGCGAUAAGGUUAAUAACCUUGUCGAUUGACGUUAUCCGCAGAAGAAGCACCGGCUAACUCCGUGCCAGCAGCCGCGGUAAUACGGAGGGUGCAAGCGUUAAUCGGAAUUACUGGGCGUAAAGCGCACGCAGGCGGUCUGUCAAGUCGGAUGUGAAAUCCCCGGGCUCAACCUGGGAACUGCAUUCGAAACUGGCAGGCUAGAGUCUUGCAGAGGGGGUAGAAUUCCAGGUGUAGCGGUGAAAUGCGUAGAGAUCUGGAGGAAUACCGGUGGCGAAGGCGGCCCCCUGGACAAAGACUGACGCUCAGGUGCGAAAGCGUGGGGAGCAAACAGGAUUAGAUACCCCUGUAGUC